rnacentral:rRNA from 1 species
CUUGUACACACCGCCCGUCAAGUGAUGGGAGUUGGCUUUACCCGAAGACGGUGUGCUAACUUUUGAGGCAGCCGGCCACGGUAAGGUCAGCGACUGGCACU